ACAUGCAAGUCGAACGGUAACAGGAAGCAGCUUGCUGCUUUCGCUGACGAGUGGCGGACGGGUGAGUAAUGUCUGGGAAACUGCCUGAUGGAGGGGGAUAACUACUGGAAACGGUAGCUAAUACCGCAUAACGUCGCAAGACCAAAGAGGGGGACCUUCGGGCCUCUUGCCAUCGGAUGUGCCCAGAUGGGAUUAGCUAGUAGGUGGGGUAACGGCUCACCUAGGCGACGAUCCCUAGCUGGUCUGAGAGGAUGACCAGCCACACUGGAACUGAGACACGGUCCAGACUCCUACGGGAGGCAGCAGUGGGGAAUAUUGCACAAUGGGCGCAAGCCUGAUGCAGCCAUGCCGCGUGUAUGAAGAAGGCCUUCGGGUUGUAAAGUACUUUCAGCGGGGAGGAAGGCGAUAAGGUUAAUAACCUUGUCGAUUGACGUUACCCGCAGAAGAAGCACCGGCUAACUCCGUGCCAGCAGCCGCGGUAAUACGGAGGGUGCAAGCGUUAAUCGGAAUUACUGGGCGUAAAGCGCACGCAGGCGGUCUGUCAAGUCGGAUGUGAAAUCCCCGGGCUCAACCUGGGAACUGCAUUCGAAACUGGCAGGCUAGAGUCUUGUAGAGGGGGGUAGAAUUCCAGGUGUAGCGGUGAAAUGCGUAGAGAUCUGGAGGAAUACCGGUGGCGAAGGCGGCCCCCUGGACAAAGACUGACGCUCAGGUG
rnacentral:rRNA from 1 species